UACGUAGGGGGCUAGCGUUGUCCGGAAUCAUUGGGCGUAAAGCGCGUGUAGGCGGUCCGGUAAGUCCGCUGUGAAAGUCGAGGGCUCAACCCUCGAAUGCCGGUGGAUACUGUCGGGCUUGAGUACGGGAGAGGCGAGUGGAAUUCCUGGUGUAGCGGUGGAAUGCGCAGAUAUCGGGAAGAACACCCGUGGCGAAGGCGGUUCUCUGGGACGGUACUGACGCUGAGACGCGAAAGCGUGGGGAGCGAACAGG
rnacentral:rRNA from 1 species